UACAGAGGUCUCAAGCGUUGUUCGGAUUCAUUGGGCGUAAAGGGUGCGUAGGCGGCGCGGUAAGUCGGGUGUGAAAUCUCGGAGCUUAACUCCGAAACUGCAUUCGAUACUGCCGUGCUUGAGGACUGGAGAGGAGACUGGAAUUUACGGUGUAGCGGUGAAAUGCGUAGAUAUCUGGAGGAACACCGGUGGCGAAGGCGGCAUCCUGGACCGGCAUUGACGCUGAGGAGCGAAAGCGUGGGGAGCAAACAGG
rnacentral:rRNA from 1 species